CAGACACGAGCGCGGCUGCACGGGCUCUCCUCUCUCCCUCGCCUCCUGAUCCCAGCCGCCAGGAGGCCCGCGGCCCGCGCGGCGCUCGAUCCGGUGACCGCCGGCCGCCGGACGACGCCGGUAAUGGCAGCACCCUGCACCACCGUUCCACCUUAGCUCCCCCUCUGCCCCGCGUCCGCGUGCCCGAGCUCCUCCUCUCUCCCGCGCGCCCGAGCUCCUUGUUGUGCGCCGCCCAGGAGGGCUUGCGCUCGCCGCUCGACCAGAGCCACCGCGAGCUGGGCGUCGUUGCACUUGCCGGCGACCUGGCCGUCCCCUCUGCACCCCCUCCACCUCAAAUUUGGACGAGCAUGUGUUUGUGUAUGUUCUCAGUUAUUUUUUGCACACAAGGUGUUUGUGUGUUUGUCCGAGCCAGUUUCAGUCACAGAUCCUUAAGGUAAACUCUCACAUGAAUACAUCAUGAGACUAAAUCUCCUUCCAUAUGAUUCAAAGCAUGUUAUGAUGGUGGGAGUGAAUCAGGUUACUAGAAUAAUGGUUUGCUAAUUAAUUUACAUCAUGUGGAGUCUCAAGACACAUGGGUACGCCGACUCCUAUUGAUUGACAAAUGUAUAUCUGCGGGUUUUCUUUAAUUGUAUGAAGAAGUUACAGUUAGGUGUUGACCUUUUUUUUGCCUAGACACAGCACCUCCAUGCACCUUUUUCCGUUUAUCUUUGCUGCGCCUUUUUAGUUUUAAUUGUUGUUUACCUUCAUCCGACCAAAUUGAGCUAUCGGAGGUGCUGCGAUCUUUUGGCAAACAUGCUCUGUAUUCUAUGGUUUGGCAUCUACAGGAUGCCAUCUCAGGUCAUGGAUCCACUGUGGCCGCUUCGUCCUUCACUGAGGACCUUCUCAUCCCCACAGAGAUCAGAGGUAACCCACACAGUUGGAAAUAGUUGCUCAAGUUCUUGCUUCAACAAAUUUUGUUCCGGAUAUAAUUUAUGGCCAUGCCAUGUAUUAAUUAUUCUUAUAAUGGUCAUCUGAAUUUGCAAAGAAAAUUAUAUUUUGGAAGCAGGAACCCUUACCUCAUGGCGUAUCAUGGCUCCUAAUGUUAUACUUCGAAUAGUUGAGCAGAAAACUGGCGUAUCAUGGCUCCUAAUGUUACAGAGCAAGUGGACAGACUAUUCCCCCUCCCACCCCCUCUAAACUUUGUUUUCUAGGUUUGGUUGGCUACAAAAGGCUAGAUUCUGGUAUAUAUUCGUUGGUGCAGAAGCUAGAAGCUCAUUGAUAUUAUUUUUCUUGCCAAACAUAUGAAGGAUUGUGCAUAAAACUUCCAGCUUGAAAUCUACAUCUGGGUUACAAGCUUUGUCCAGAAUUUAAGAACAUCGCUGUGGACAUUUAGAUAUUUUUGUAGCAUUCUUCAGGGUCUUGACUUAAUUUCUUUUCACACAGUAAAAUAUCAAUUAUAUGUUGUACAGUAGUAGUAGUGUGAAUACUAUGUACUCAAGUUUAUUGAAGUCAAAACAGGAAAGGAGAGCAGAGUUCAGGGCAUGUUCAGCUCCAUCCAUGCAUCAAGGGAAAUAUAUACGAGGCAAAGGAAUUACGUGUUCUGCUAGAUGACAUAGUACAAGGUUCAGCAGCGACGACAUGAUCUCAAACAUGGCACUGAGUACAAGGCAAAGUUAUGUGGUGGGUCGGAUGGAGAGCUUGGCGCGGUGAUGUGGCAGGCUGCUCUACAGUGGCACUAAUGGAGAGCUCGGUCAACGAUGACGGGACGACCGACUGAUCUGCGGCAGCGUGGAAGGAGGGCUCGGCGGUCGACACGGCGGCUUGAUCCGCUGUUCUGCGACGUUUCGGAGAACUUCUUGUACUGGUGUGUGUGUAUGCAUAGGUGCCGUACUAUCCUGGGCGCUCACUCCCCCAGGAUCCCACAAGUUUGCAUAGAGCUCGGACGUCGGUGGCGGCCUGGCACGCUAAUCUGCCGCCUCCACAUGAGGAGUCGUGAGAUUAGUGCAUCACAUUCAAAAGUCGCCGCUCCGUGAUUAGGGCAUUGCAUUCAGGCAUUCAGUAAAUUAGAAGACAUAUUUAGCUAGCACUGGGAUCCAUCGUCAUUGUAGGGCCUUGAAUCUUUUCAAUCCUUGCCAAGACAGUUCUUGCCAUGGACGACGGGUCUCUCCGUGUGGUCUUGGUCCAAAAGCUAAAAUAGGGAAUAAGAUGUGCCUCGCCGUGUGAAGUGUUGGGUAUCUUUUGCACUUGCUCCAUCAGCUGCAGAAACUAUAGCCCAAAUGCAGCAUACUGCCACUAUUUCAUAUCAUUGAUUGAUGAUUUGUUUUUUCAUAAUUGAAUUGGCGAAUGAUGAAAAGGUGUAACGUUCAGGGAUUUUUGCUAGAUGAUUUGUUGAUCCAGUUUAAUUUUAGUAGGCAUCUGGGUACUUU